AGAGUUUGAUCCUGGCUCAGGACGAACGCUGGCGGCGUGCCUAAUACAUGCAAGUCGAGCGAACCACUUCGGUGGUUAGCGGCGGACGGGUGAGUAACACGUGGGCAACCUGCCUGUAAGACUGGGAUAACACCGGGAAACCGGUGCUAAUACCGGAUAAUCCUUUUUCUCUCAUGAGGAAAAGCUGAAAGUCGGUUUCGGCUGACACUUACAGAUGGGCCCGCGGCGCAUUAGCUAGUUGGUGAGGUAACGGCUCACCAAGGCGACGAUGCGUAGCCGACCUGAGAGGGUAAUCGGCCACACUGGGACUGAGACACGGCCCAGACUCCUACGGGAGGCAGCAGUAGGGAAUCUUCCACAAUGGACGAAAGUCUGAUGGAGCAACGCCGCGUGAGCGAUGAAGGCCUUCGGGUCGUAAAGCUCUGUUGUUAGGGAAGAACAAGUACCGGAGUAACUGCCGGUACCUUGACGGUACCUAACCAGAAAGCCACGGCUAACUACGUGCCAGCAGCCGCGGUAAUACGUAGGUGGCAAGCGUUGUCCGGAAUUAUUGGGCGUAAAGCGCGCGCAGGCGGUCCUUUAAGUCUGAUGUGAAAGCCCACGGCUCAACCGUGGAGGGUCAUUGGAAACUGGGGAACUUGAGUGCAGAAGAGGAAAGCGGAAUUCCACGUGUAGCGGUGAAAUGCGUAGAGAUGUGGAGGAACACCAGUGGCGAA
rnacentral:rRNA from 1 species